rnacentral:rRNA from 1 species
UACGUAGGGGGCUAGCGUUGUCCGGAUUUACUGGGCGUAAAGCGUACGCAGACGGCUUGGUAGGUCGGACGUGAAAGCCCCGGGCUCAACCCGGGAAAUGCGUCCGAAACCCCCUUGCUUGAGUAUGAAAGAGGAAAGCGGAAUUCCUGGCGUAGAGGUGAAAUUCGUAGAUAUCAGGAGGAACAUCGGCGGCGAAGGCGGCUUUCUGGCUCAUUACUGACGUUCAGGUACGAAAGCGUGGGUAGCAAACAGG